AUGACUAAAGAUAAUCUUUUAAAGAGAGGCAUUGUAAAACCUCCAGAGUGCUUAUUUUGCAAUGAGCAUGAAACAGUUGAUCAUCUGCUUUUCCACUGUGUGGUUGCUAAACAGCUCUAGGCAGGUAUCUCUGAUGUUUUCUCUCUUGAGUUAGGUACCAUUUACUUGUCAGUUGCCAGAUAUUGGCCAUCACAAAAGAAACACUUAGUCUUAAAUUCAGUAUGUGCUUGUGUAAUGUGGUGCAUUUGGAAGUAUAUAAACUCCAUGAUUUUCAAUAAUGUGAUGUGGUCUGACCUUAAACAAAUUUGGUGGCAGAUCCAUCUAACUCUCAAGAAGUGGAUGAUCCUUUUCAAGGACUCCCAGCUGGAAAAUCUGAAACUCGUCUUGCAGAAGAUAGCAUCAAUACUCACUUCCCCUUCCCUGCUGACAAUGGGAUGA
rnacentral:rRNA from 1 species